GACAUUUAAGUUAAGUCAAUUAGGAUCGAUAUACUUUGUAUAUCCACUAGGUGGCAGUAAUGCAAAAACAGUUGUAAUGAAACCGCGAAGAACAACAAGGUUUCACGGCUUGGGCCUGCUCAUGCGCAAGACUUCAAAUUUAACUUAAAAACGUUGUUUUGGCGCCAAGCUGCUGUUUCUUUGAGAGAUCCUGCCUUUACCUGCUCCCUCCUAUACUGAUGUGGUGUAUGUGGUACUGCUGAGCUUGUAUGUGAUCUGAACCAUUGUAAAGGUUGCAGUUCAAGGGCCUGAGGUGGAAGCAGAAUUUGUGAGGAUUACUACUGCUCCACUUGUUCCAAGGCUUUUUGCACAACUUGACCAAUACACUGACCAGCUCAUAAAAGUCUUCAAGAAAAAAGGAGGUGCUGCAGUGAAGAAAAUUAGACAAAUUUUAGCCCCACCCACAAAGGAAACUAUUGAAAAGGGGAGGGAGUGUGUCCUCAGGGCACUACCUUUUUACCUGAAUGAAGACCCAACCAUCCUCUUCAAAGAAUAAUUGCUACAGCUACAGCUGUUCAGAGGGAGCUGGAACAAAUUACCCUUGCUGUCUUCACCAUCGAAAAAGCUGAUGUCAGCACUCCUCCAGCCGAUGUGGGUAUAACCAUCUAGGGUGUUCUGCAUGACCUGGAAAACAUGGCCUUUGAAGUACUUCAGAAGCUCUUCCUUCAUCUGUAUGUCAGCAGACUCUUGACCAAGGUACAGAUGCUCAAGAAUAAACUGAAUGAAUAAGCCAACCCUUAAUUUGGAUGAUGAAUGUUCUGUCAGAUGGACAGAAGUUUUUCAGAGGCUGAAUGGGAAUAAAACGGUAAUUUGUUGAAAAUGACAGAUAAAGGGAAAAUUACAUUUAAGAGAAAUUUUGAAAACUUUGUAAACUACUACAAUUUGAGAGAUUUUACUCUUGUGGGGGGAAGGGGGGCUAGUAAGAGACAAUCAAAAGUAUUGAGAUUUAAAGGAUUUAAUUGAGAGAUGAUACUGCACCAGAAAUGUUGAAGGGUGGUGUGUAUAUUAGCGUUCAAGGUAUAUUGUUAUGAGGUGGAAAUAUGUUCAUAUUCUGUUUGUGUUACAUUGUGUGCAUUGUAAAGGUAAUUGCAAUACAUACUAAGAAUAAGGGUAAGUUAGGAAUGCAGGAUGAAUGUAUAUUUUGCGGACUUUUAAAGACGAACAAUUGUUUCCAUGUUAAAAUGUUUACAACCCAAGUUUUUUGCCCAAACACUGGUAAAAUAAACGUUGAGGGUGGCAAGUGUUAAAUGGUUACUGCUGUGCUGUUGCAAAAAAACUGAACGCUGACAAGCUGUUUUAUUGUUAGACCAUAAUGCUGGCAUGUUUUAUUAAAGUUUUAUUUGGGAUGGUGAUAUAAUUUUCUUUGAUUGCUAAUAUCAGUGGACUAUUUAUUAUUAUUAUUAUUAUUAUUAUUAUUAUUAUUAUUAUUAUUAUUACAACAUUAUUUUUUUUUAAUUGUGGCUGUUGAGGUGGACACUUCACUUUGCAUUGUUAAAGGAAAGCACUUCAUUGGCGUUGUGUUACUGGACUGACCCUAAGCAAUCAUUGCAAAUAGCAACUUUGCUAUCCAUUUUAGACACUAAAAGAAAAAACACUCCACAGACCUUACUAGCAUCACAUGUGCAUAACUCAAGUGUCAUUUUAUCAACAUGUUAUGUGGUCUUCAAUGUUUUUUUCUUCUAUUUCUGGCAGAUACAGACAUUUAAUUUAAAGUGUUGAUGUUCCAUCUGUCUACAUACUGUUAGUUACUAACCCUAAUGACCUGUUGUGUUUUAUUUUGGACUGGGUUUACACAAAUGCUCACUGAAUGUGUUGGCAAUAAAAGAAAUUUAAAAAAA